CGCAUCUGUGCAUGCAGCAUAUCAAUAAGCGGAGGAAAAGAAACUAACAAGGAUUCCCCUAGUAACGGCGAGUGAAGCGGGAAGAGCUCAAAUUUGAAAUCUUAAAGGGUUUCCCUUUACGAAUUGUAGUUUAAAGAAGUGUUUUCUGUUGAGGUUUUGGUAAAAGUUCUUUGGAAUAGGACAUCAUAGAGGGUGAGAAUCCCGUAUUUGACCUUUACUUUCAACUUUGUGAUACACUUUCAAAGAGUCGGAUUGUUUGGGAAUGCAGUCCAAAAUGGGUGGUAAAUUUCAUCUAAAGCUAAAUAUUGGCGAGAGACCGAUAGCGAACAAGUACCGUGAGGGAAAGAUGAAAAGAACUUUGAAAAGAGAGUUAAACAGUACGUGAAAUUGUCAAAAGGGAAGCGUUUGACACCAGUGUUGUUUUUCUGAAAAUCAAUUAAAGAACUGUUUAUGCUAAGUUGUUUAGACUUUAUCAGCUAACUGUUUAGUUUUGAGCUUUUCUUUAAUGCACUUUUCAGUUAACAAGUCAACAUCAAUUUCUUUUGCUGUAAAAAAGCUUGAGGAAGGUGGCUUGAGAUUCGUCUUAAGUGUUUAUAGCCUCUUGCCUAUGCAGUCGGAGAGAUUGAGGUCUGCAGCGUAGAUCCUUCGGGGCUAAAUGCAUUUGUGCUAAGUUAUAAGCAUUUUCAUAGACAACUUGUUGACUAUGAUUUGUCUUGUAGCUUACUCGCUUAUGUUAUUUUACCUACGCUUAGGAUGUUGACAGCAGUAUAGACUGU
rnacentral:rRNA from 1 species